rnacentral:tRNA from 1 species
GCGGACGUGGCGGAAUUGGCAUACGCGCAAGGCUUAGGACCUUGUGGCAAUAAAAUGCCUUGGGGGUUCAAAUCCCUCCGUCCGCA